GCGGUCCCUGUCUGUUUUCGUUAUGGCGCCUUGUACUUCUACCCAACGUUGCCCGCCCCCCAUCUUCCCAGCCCACCAGCUCCGUCCGCCUCUCCGGAUGAUUCGUGAGAUACCGAGCCUGCCGGGAAGGGACCGGAUUUUUCCGUCUGGUCCAAGGAAGCACGGGUUAUGGCCACAUGCGCAGUGAUAACUCAGGGCCCCACGCCUUUUGACCCCUGUUGAUGAAGAUUGUGAGGAGGGAGACCAGAAGAUAAUGGACAACGAUACAGCAGAAGGGUCUGGUUACACUUGAGCUUAUUUCUUGGAAGAGUCUGAGAAGACGGCCUGUCAGGCUCCUAACACUAAGGUAAUUGCUGGCUAAGACAGCCUGACCCUCCGGUUUCCCUUUCCCAUCGGAUCUUGACGCUGGUCUUGGUGGUCGUUAAGGAGGAAGAGCACCCUGAAGCUGGCCUCACAGCGAUGCAGUCUGCUGUAGAGCAGNNNNNNNNNNNCAGGCCAGACUCAGACAUGCCUGGGCUUUGAAGUGGGAAAACUUGAGAACUGAUCAGUAUUGCUGAGUAAUGGCUUACUUUCAUGGUUUUUUUUUUUUAAGGGCCAUGUAACCAGUGAAGCAGCCAUUAUAUAUGAUUUGGUCUACACUUGUUGGGUAAGCUUAAGGAUUGUUAACCCUUUUCCUAAGUAGUAUAGCAGAAAUUCAGGUUUGCAUAGUGGCUAGCCAUCUAUAAGCCACCUCCAUAAUUUAUGUCUGAACUAGUUAGCUGUUCACAUCUGGGGCAAAGAUGUGUGCCAUGUUGGCUGGUAUUUGUCAAUUGAACAUUGCAUGAGUACAGACACUGGUCCAUGAUGAAACCCAUUAUCAGUGGACAUCUAUGGAUGAGAAAUGCGGAUAUGGGACUGAGAC
ensembl:lincRNA Snhg12 small nucleolar RNA host gene 12